ensembl:snoRNA SNORA52 small nucleolar RNA, H/ACA box 52
ACGUCCAUCCUAAUUCCUGCUGGUCAGCCUGUGGCCUGCCAGGUUUCGCUUGUGGACUAGAGCACUCUAGAAGCCUGACCUGAGUGGGUGAGCAAGGCCUUCAUGGGCUCAUGCCAGUGGUACUUCUGGACAGUG